GAUGUUAGCGGCGGACGGGUGAGUAACACGUGGGUAACCUGCCUGUAAGACUGGGAUAACUCCGGGAAACCGGAGCUAAUACCGGAUAGUUCCUUGAACCGCAUGGUUCAAGGAUGAAAGACGGUUUCGGCUGUCACUUACAGAUGGACCCGCGGCGCAUUAGCUAGUUGGUGGGGUAAUGGCUCACCAAGGCGACGAUGCGUAGCCGACCUGAGAGGGUGAUCGGCCACACUGGGACUGAGACACGGCCCAGACUCCUACGGGAGGCAGCAGUAGGGAAUCUUCCGCAAUGGACGAAAGUCUGACGGAGCAACGCCGCGUGAGUGAUGAAGGUUUUCGGAUCGUAAAGCUCUGUUGUUAGGGAAGAACAAGUGCGAGAGUAACUGCUCGCACCUUGACGGUACCUAACCAGAAAGCCACGGCUAACUACGUGCCAGCAGCCGCGGUAAUACGUAGGUGGCAAGCGUUGUCCGGAAUUAUUGGGCGUAAAGGGCUCGCAGGCGGUUUCUUAAGUCUGAUGUGAAAGCCCCCGGCUCAACCGGGGAGGGU
rnacentral:rRNA from 1 species